UAGGGAAUCUUCGGCAAUGGGGGGAACCCUGACCGAGCAACGCCGCGUGAGUGAAGAAGGUUUUCGGAUCGUAAAGCUCUGUUGUUAAGGAAGAACGAGCGUGAGAAUGGAAAGUUCAUGCUGUGACGGUACUUAACCAGAAAGGGACGGCUAACUACGUGCCAGCAGCCGCGGUAAUACGUAGGUCCCGAGCGUUGUCCGGAUUUAUUGGGCGUAAAGCGAGCGCAGGCGGUUAGACAAGUCUGAAGUGAAAGGCAGUGGCUCAACCAUUGUAGGCUUUGGAAACUGUUUAACUUGAGUGCAGAAGGGGAGAGUGGAAUUCCAUGUGUAGCGGUGAAAUGCGUAGAUAUAUGGAGGAACACCGGUGGCGAAAGCGGCUCUCUGGUCUGUAACUGACGCUGAGGCUCGAAAGCGUGGGGAGCGAACAGG
rnacentral:rRNA from 1 species